GGGCGCAUGGUGUAGUUGGUUAUCACAUCCGCUUAGCAAGUCUCUGGACGUGCAAGCUGCGGGGGGUGCUGGGUUCAAUUCCCAGUGCGUCCA
rnacentral:tRNA from 1 species